CCUCCCCCCCCCCCCCCCCCCCCCCCCCGCGCACCCUAACCCAGAAGCCUAAACAAAAGAAAAAGAAAAACUCUUUCAGAACAGAUCGUCGAGAACACGAGAACAGUUCCAAUCGGUAAAAUUGGAGAAUCGAAUAUUUACAGAAUUCUAGUUUGGAAGCUCUCUUUAGGUUUCCAUCUCUUCUCUCAUCAAGGUAUCAUAGUAUUUUUGUUGCCAAGAGCAAAAUUGAGUUACAAGCUUACAAAUUAGAGGCAGGGGCGGAGCCACCUUAGGGGAAACAGUGUCACGGGUCACCGCUUCGUCGAAAUUUUUCACUGUGCAUAUAUGAAAUUCAUAUUUCCUGGAUAGCUAAGUGAACCAAUAGAUGAAUCUCCAUUUUCAUAUCUUUCUCGGAACAUCCAGCAAUUGCUAGCUCACUGGUCGGGCACUUCGCUUUUCUGGUUAAGAUUGACUUGAAUCCGUCAAAAUCUCAAAAGUAUGAUAUGGAAUCAACUUUGAAGGCUGCGAAACAUUCAUUCAUUCCACCUGGUGCCUUAGCAAGAGGACAAGGGAAAAGCUUUAGAGCUUUGAGUUUAGUAAGAGUAAAUGCUGAACAAAGACCUCCGAUUGGCCAAAGUAAAAAGUGUAAUAGAGCAACUUCUUAUCUGAAUGAGCUAGCUCAGAAUGAGAGUCUUGCACGCUCCUGGUUUUGAUCCAUAGGAAGACUAUGUUUCCCCUCUCAAGAAGCUGAACUGAUGCAAAUACUCAGAGAAACGAAAUAAGUCCAUGUGAACCUUAAAAGGCAAAAAAUGUGAGAGUGUCGAUCAGGUGCAGGACUCAAAGCUGGAGUAAUGUUAAGCGUCACUUUUUACCACAAUCGAAUUGUUGGAAGCAUCAUGCCUCAGCGAGACACUUAGCUAUAUUAGUUAAUGAUGGUAAUAUGUGUCCAUUGCGCGUACAUUAAUGGGCGGACAUUGAGGAUUAUAAGCUGGAUCACAUGUGGGCAGCUGUGACUAUAAGGAUUUAAAACAUGAGUUUUUUGUUUUGCCUUCUCAUUUUAUUCUUUUACAAAUGAAAACGAAAUACUUGUGAGCUUAUAUCAUUGUAUUUGCUGAGUUAUUUUCUGUUUGAUUUGUUAGAAUCUGUAAAGAAAAUAGUUGAUAUGCUAUAUUGGACUUGUGAAAAUCAGUGUUAUUAAAAGCGCUAGCUUCGUCGCCUAAAGCAUUGAGGUAAGGCGACUGGCUUGUGCUUCAGAAGGCUGAGGCGACGCUGGUAGAAAGAAGGGACUCUUCUCCUCAAGAAGAUCGAAGUGGAAGAGAAGCGAGAAAUAUGCGCUUCGUUUAUUUUAAUAAAAAGUUGACUUUAAACAGAAAAGGAUUCAACUUUCUUACUAGUUUUGCUGCUCUCUUCCUUGGUCUGGUUUCUAUACUUCAAGCUACAGGUAUGAUUAUUUCUUCUUCUUCCCCUUCUCCUCUUCUCUUCUUCGUCUCGUCUCUGAUAUCGUCGCUGCUGCUGUUUUUUUUUUCUUUCUCUUCUUUUCUUUUACCUUAUGUCGCUGCUACUACAACGUUUUUUCUCCUCUUCUUCUUUUCUCUUUUCUGAUAUCACUGCUGCUGCUGCUUUUUUUUCUUUCUCUUUUAUUCUCUGAUCUAAUAUCGCUGCUACUGCAAUAUGAGCAUCAUGGUGACAGAUGCAAGGUUCAAUAUUUUUGCCGAUAUAUAUUAGAAUACUUGUCCAUGAUGCAACUUCUAUGUUGACAUUUAAUUCUUUUUAUUUUGAGAAUUUGUAGCCUGUUAGUUGGAUAGUAGUGCAUCCACUAUACUGGCUAUCAAAGAUGUGAAGAUAGCUUGUUCUCUGCAUUGAAUUUGAGUUCCAUUAUAUUCUCAUGAAGUAAGCUCAUCUCUUAUCCCUAUUUGUACGGUGUAUUUUGGCAUAAGCAGGACUUGAGGAUUAUGUUACCAAUAUAUAAUAAUGGAGGUAAAUCAUGAUCGUAGAAAAUUCUUAUGCUAUUGGUACUCCGUCUGCAUUACUGCAUUUUGGAUCAUAGUACAUAGUUGGUACUAAUUCCUAAUAUUGUGGUCUUCUCUUUUUUUCUUUCAUAAGUUUAGUCUUUGCUAAUAAACUGACAUAAAUUUGAAACUUUUAAUAGGUCAAGAAUUUGAAGACUGAGAUAAGUUUGGUGGUGACAUGUUUUUUUAAGGUUAUUCUAUAAUUAGUUACUUCUUAGUGUUUCUGUUUUCUACUUUAAGUGGCUCUUGUUAUUAAAUCUCAUCCAUAGAGAUUAGAAUAGUCUACACUUUACAUAAAGUGUGUUGUUUCAUCUUAUUUGUUGUGUCAUCUGCUUGAGCAUGCCUCUACUUUUAUUAUUUCAAAUUUAUUUUCUGGAUACAAAAGUAAUUCAUCCUUUGGCAUGUAUAUAACACAUCCAUUUGUAAUUUUUUCAGAUUUGGAAAACUGGAAAAUGAUGUCCGGUAUCAUUCAAUUUAUACCAGAUCAAGAUUUACAAUAUACAAGCUGGAUUCUAAAGAACUGGCCUGCUACCCUUGAAGAAAGUGCAGAACAAUUGAAGCAAUCUACUUUGGUUUUGUUACAAUCUGUUUAGAAAUGUCACAUUUGUAAAAGCUAUAAUUUUAUUCUCUUUUGUUUGGAGUUGGCAAAUAUAAUGUCAUGUAAUCGGAAUGUGUAUAUUUUUAUAUAUUUUUUUUAGUAAUGUGAUGAUUUUUUUUUCAA